GGAAGCAUGCAGCAGAGUUGGGCAGAGCAAAUGCAGUGGGAGCUGUACCAUCACCACUGCACACCGUAUCACAAAUGUGGGAGAAGGAAGCCUAACACCGCAGAGAAGACACCAGCAAAGACUUCUUCCCAGAAAAACUUGGCGCUGUCAGUGAUGAGCAUGGGACGCGUUUCCAUCAGCAGAUUUCUAUGAUGGAAAAGAGGUACCAAGGCAAACGGAGUUCAAGUAUACUGGCUGACUAUUGCUGGACCAUGAAGAUAGACAUCCCAAAGGCAAAAUAUGACUGAAAAUCAUAAUCUUUAACUUUUUAGAUCAGCCAGAAUGAGGUGUAUAUUUAUAAUUUAUACUUAUGAAAAUUCUAAUUUAAUAAAACGUUUUUCACAAAAA